CUACGGGGCGCAGCAGUGGGGAAUAUUGCACAAUGGAGGAAACUCUGAUGCAGCAACGCCGCGUGGAGGAUGACACUUUUCGGAGCGUAAACUCCUUUGAUAUAGGAAGAAGAUGACGGUACUAUAUGAAUAAGCGCCGGCUAACUCCGUGCCAGCAGGCCGCGGUAAUACGGAGGGCGCAAGCGUUACUCGGAAUCACUGGGCGUAAAGAGCGUGUAGGCGGAUUAAAAAGUCAGAAGUGAAAUCCUAUAGCUUAACUAUAGAACUGCUUCUGAAACUCUUAAUCUAGAAUAUGGGAGAGGUAGAUGGAAUUUCUGGUGUAGGGGUAAAAUCCGUAGAGAUCAGAAGGAAUACCGAUUGCGAAGGCGAUCUACUAGAACAUUAUUGACGCUGAGACGCGAAAGCGUGGGGAGCAAACAGGAUUAGAUACCCCCGUAGUC
rnacentral:rRNA from 1 species